UACGUAGGGGGCAAGCGUUGUCCGGAAUUAUUGGGCGUAAAGCGUGCGCAGGCGGUUUUGCAAGACCGAUGUGAAAUCCCCGGGCUUAACCUGGGAAUGGCAUUGGUGACUGCACGGCUAGAGUGUGUCAGAGGGGGGUAGAAUUCCACGUGUAGCAGUGAAAUGCGUAGAGAUGUGGAGGAAUACCGAUGGCGAAGGCAGCCCCCUGGGAUAACACUGACGCUCAUGCACGAAAGCGUGGGGAGCAAACAGG
rnacentral:rRNA from 1 species